rnacentral:tRNA from 1 species
GAGCAUAUAGCUCAGUGGUAGAGCACGUACUUAGUAUGCAUGAGGUCCUGGGUUCAAUCCCCAGUACCUCCA